AACGAACGCUGGCGGCAGGCCUAACACAUGCAAGUCGAGCGAGGACUUCGGUCCUAGCGGCGGACGGGUGAGUAACGCGUGGGAACGUGCCCUUUGCUUCGGAAUAGCCCUGGGAAACUGGGAGUAAUACCGGAUGAGCCCUUCGGGGGAAAGAUUUAUCGGCGAAGGAUGGGCCCGCGUUGGAUUAGGUAGUUGGUGGGGUAAUGGCCUACCAAGCCGACGAUCCAUAGCUGGUUUGAGAGGAAGGGCAGCCACACUGGGACUGGGACACGGCCCAGACUCCUACGGGAGGCAGGAGUGGGGGAUCUAACACAAUGGGGGGAACCCUGAACUAGCCAGGCCGCGUGAGCGAUGAAGGCCGUAGGGUUGUAAAGCUCGUUCAGCUGGGAAGAUAAUGACGGUACCAGCAGAAGAAGCCCCGGCUAACUCCGUG
rnacentral:rRNA from 1 species